rnacentral:rRNA from 1 species
UACGAAGGGGGCUAGCGUUGCUCGGAAUCACUGGGCGUAAAGGGUGCGUAGGCGGGUCUUUAAGUCAGAGGUGAAAUCCUGGAGCUCAACUCCAGAACUGCCUUUGAUACUGAGGAUCUUGAGUUCGGGAGAGGUGAGUGGAACUGCGAGUGUAGAGGCGAAAUUCGUAGAUAUUCGCAAGAACACCAGUGGCGAAGGCGGCUCACUGGCCCGAUACUGACGCUGAGGCACGAAAGCGUGGGGAGCAAACAGG